GCUGCAGACCAAAAAAGACAUUCAACAUAUGUGUCGCAAUGCACUAUUAUAGUUUUUAUGAUGUUAUGACUCUAAAGAUAUAAAUACUAAUUAAUUGCACUAGGUAGCAUACUGUAUUGUUAGAUAUUGAUAAUGUUUAUUGUAGAUAAUAGGUCUAUGAAAAAUAUAUGACCUUUGUGCUAAUUUAAGACACAAACAGUUAUGAAAAAAGAAUACCAAUCCAAAUCUUGACUAAUUACGGUAUAUAUAUUAUACUUUGUGUGUUUUACAGAGUGAAUGAGGUUCUUGUUAAGGAUAUGAGACAUUUUUUUGUAGAGCUUAUUUAUAGCUUGAGAUUUUUUUAUACAUUUUACAAUGAUAUUUUAUAUUUAAUGUAUAUUACUAUAGCUGUCUAAAACUUGAACUUACCAAUAUGCAAUUUCAUCAAAUGCGGGCAUCUGACCAAAAUGACAUGCUAUAAAAAUAAGUUAAG